GGCGGCGUGCUUAACACAUGCAAGUCGAACGGAAAGGCCCUGCUUUUGUGGGGUGCUCGAGUGGCGAACGGGUGAGUAACACGUGAGUAACCUGCCCUUGACUUUGGGAUAACUUCAGGAAACUGGGGCUAAUACCGGAUAGGAGCUCCUGCUGCAUGGUGGGGGUUGGAAAGUUUCGGCGGUUGGGGAUGGACUCGCGGCUUAUCAGCUUGUUGGUGGGGUAGUGGCUUACCAAGGCUUUGACGGGUAGCCGGCCUGAGAGGGUGACCGGCCACAUUGGGACUGAGAUACGGCCCAGACUCCUACGGGAGGCAGCAGUGGGGAAUAUUGCACAAUGGGCGGAAGCCUGAUGCAGCAACGCCGCGUGCGGGAUGACGGCCUUCGGGUUGUAAACCGCUUUCGCCUGUGACGAAGCGUGAGUGACGGUAAUGGGUAAAGAAGCACCGGCUAACUACGUGCCAGCAGCCGCGGUGAUACGUAGGGUGCGAGCGUUGUCCGGAUUUAUUGGGCGUAAAGGGCUCGUAGGUGGUUGAUCGCGUCGGAAGUGUAAUCUUGGGGCUUAACCCUGAGCGUGCUUUCGAUACGGGUUGACUUGAGGAAGGUAGGGGAGAAUGGAAUUCCUGGUGGAGCGGUGGAAUGCGCAGAUAUCAGGAGGAACACCAGUGGCGAAGGCGGUUCUCUGGGCCUUUCCUGACGCUGAGGAGCGAAAGCGUGGGGAGCGAACAGGCUUAGAUACCCCUGGUAGUCCACGCUGUAAACGGUGGGUACUAGGUGUGGGGUCCAUUCCACGGGUUCCGUGCCCGUAGCUAACGCUUUAAGUACCCCGCCUGGGGAGUACGGCCGCAAGGCUAAAACUCAAAGGAAUUGACGGGGCCCCGCACAAGCGGCGGAGCAUGCGGAUUAAUUCGAUGCAACGCGUAGAACCUUACCUGGGUUUGACAUGGAUCGGGAGUGCUCAGAGAUGGGUGUGCCUCUUUUGGGGUCGGUUCACAGGUGGUGCAUGGCUGUCGUCAGCUCGUGUCGUGAGAUGUUGGGUUAAGUCCCGCAACGAGCGCAACCCUUGUUCACUGUUGCCAGCACGUUAUGGUGGGGACUCAGUGGAGACCGCCGGGGUCAACUCGGAGGAAGGUGGGGAUGACGUCAAGUCAUCAUGCCCCUUAUGUCCAGGGCUUCACGCAUGCUACAAUGGCUGGUACAGAGAGUGGCGAGCCUGUGAGGGUGAGCGAAUCUCGGAAAGCCGGUCUCAGUUCGGAUUGGGGUCUGCAACUCGACCUCAUGAAGUCGGAGUCGCUAGUAAUCGCAGAUCAGCAACGCUGCGGUGAAUACGUUCCCGGGGCUUGUACACACCGCCCGUCAAGUCAUGAAAGUUGGUAACACCCGAAGCCGGUGGCCUAACCGUUGUGGGGGAGCCGUCGAAGGUGGGACUGGUGAUUAGGACUAAGU
rnacentral:rRNA from 1 species